UAGGGAAUCUUCCGCAAUGGACGAAAGUCUGACGGAGCAACGCCGCGUGAGUGAAGAAGGAUUUCGGUUCGUAAAACUCUGUUGUUAGGGAAGAAAAAAUGUAUAGUAACUAUAUACAAAAGAGACGGUACCUAACCAGAAAGCCACGGCUAACUACGUGCCAGCAGCCGCGGUAAUACAUAGGUGGCAAGCGUUGUCCGGAAUUAUUGGGCGUAAAGCGCGCGCAGGUGGUUUAGAAAGUCUGAUGUGAAAGCCCACGGCUCAACCGUGGAGGGUCAUUGGAAACUAAUAAACUUGAGUGCAGGAGAGAAAAGUGGAAUUCCUAGUGUAGCGAUGAAAUGCGUAGAGAUUAGGAGGAACACCGGUGGCGAAAGCGGCUUUUUGGCCUGCAACUGACACUGAGGCGCGAAAGCGUGGGGAGCAAACAGG
rnacentral:rRNA from 1 species